GACGAACGCUGGCGGCGUGGAUUAGGCAUGCAAGUCGGACGGUAGAGCUUUAUCGUAAGAUAGAGUUUGAGAGUGGCGAACGGGUGAGUAACACGUAGGAAUCUACCCUUAAGACGGGGACAACCCAGGGAAACUUGGGCUAAUACCGGAUGAGAGUGCGAGAGAUUGCAUUUAAAAGGAUGGCGAAAGUUGUCGCUUAGGGAUGAGCCUGCGGUCUAUUAGUUAGUUGGUGAGGUAAGAGCUCACCAAGGCGAUGAUAGAUAGGCGGCCUUAACGGGUGGUCGCCCACACUGGGAUUGAGAUACGGCCCAGACUCCUACGGGAGGCAGCAGUCGAGAAUAGUCUACAAUGGCCGGAAGGCUGAUAGUGCGACGCCGCGUGAACGAGGGAGCCCUUCGGGGUGUAAAGUUCUUUUAUAUGUGAGCAGUGCUUCUUAUAUUAACAGUAUGGGGAGAGAGAUAUUAGCAUAUGAAUAAGCAACGGCUAACUCCGUG
rnacentral:rRNA from 1 species